CCUGCCCCGCUUAGCCAUCUGCCAGACCCUGGUGUUUCCCCUAAGCGAGCCCUGGGCUUCCUUGCUGUUCUAGGAAAGUCAACUUGUGGCAGAACUUCAGGAAAGAAGGAUACCAGCAGAAUGUGAUUACAAAGAGUCUCCACUUCCAUCUCCGGGAAAGAAGAUACAUAUUUAAGAGAGAAAAGGCACCAGCCUGAAGUAACUUAGCUGUUACCAUAGAGAACAAGAAAAUAAAAAUUUUCACAUUAUGUGAAAGGAAAGUCAAGCAUGAUAAUUAUUCAGAAUAAGCCACUCAAAAGGCUCUUCAGUAGAAUAAAGAAGAAUGGUUAUCCCAAAGGAAGCUACUGUUUUGACAUUCAACUGGGAAGACAUCCAAAAUUUAGACUGGGCGUAAAGCCCUAGCUUUUCUUUUGGAAGACUUCGUAGUGAUAAUUCAGAGAAGCUGGUGUAUUGUCAAAUGAUAAUAAAAUCAAACAAAUAAAACCUAAUGGAUGCAUGCAUACAGGAGACUGACACUGAAAUAAUUUCUAUCUUUUUAAUAAAUGACUUGAUACAUUUUCUUUUU